CAACACAGCUAUCUUACUCGCAAAGUUUCAAGCUUUUAUUAGGUGCCAUUGUUUAUGAAUGCAGCCAAACUAUAUUUGUAACAAUUUAAUGUACUAAAGAUUUAAACAUGAUGCAGAUUCUGAAACUGAACACACCUAGUGCAUACAGUGCUUAACCUGUGAAUCUGAGAGGAAACAACAAAAAAAGCAACAUCUCGACCCCUGCUCAGCGAGACUUCCUUACGGCUUCCAGCCAAGCUUCCUGAACAGCAGGAAGUGUUAAUCCUUGAAAGAACAGAGAGAAGCUGGAGAGAAGAAGAGCAAGAGGUCGCAGCUGAAUUUUUCAUGAAGGAUUUUAAAAGCACAGUCGUGUGUCAACCAAUGGGUCAUCAUGUAAAUUUUGAGCUGACCUCUUGCCCUUCUAAGUGACAGACUGUCAAAACUGGAUGGUGCCAUCAAUCAAAAUGUUGAACUCUGUUAAACUAAAACAGACUUAAAGUGCAAAUGUUUCAAAUCAGCACAUUUUACUACCAUACAAAGGAAAUGUGAGUCAAGACAAAGU